rnacentral:tRNA from 1 species
GCCCAGGUGGCGAAAUUGGUAGACGCGCUCGUUUCAGGGGCGAGUGGCAGUGAUGUCGUGAAGGUUCGAGUCCUUUCCUGGGCA